AUGUGUCGUCCCACUCGCACCGUUGUCUAUCUCUCCAACCUAUCUUCUCACCCGCUCUCAUCCCCAUCUCUCCCCACGCCUUCUUCUUCUCCCCACACUCCCGAUUCCCUUCCUCUUCUUCUCUUCCCUUCUCUCUGUCCAGCGAGGAACGGCACUCCAAUCCCUCUCAAUGGCAGCCGCUGCUUCAAAGCAUCCCCGCAGAUUUCUCAAUCCAGAUCAGAUCGAGGCCAUCAUCGAGCGCCUUGCCCGCCUCCUCCUUCCUCUUCGCCCUCGCGCACGCCGCCCCACCAGAGCUCCAGUGCCUCCCCGCAGCACCUUCUCCCUCCUUUCUCCUUCUUCCUCUCUUCCCCCACAUGCAUCUCAGUACUUUCAUUUUCUAUUGGCCAUGAGCAGAGGAAGCGCGCAGGGGGCAUCUCCGCUACCGCCACCACGGCCGUCGUCGCGCCGCCGCCGCCGCCGAGUUCGCUGGCCGUUGACGAACCCCAUUCCUGGGCUAGGACGGCGCGGACGCCGGCAUCAAUCUACGGGGCGUGCCCGGCGGUUUGGUGGAGGCAGGCAAUGGAUAAGUGGUGGAGGUGGCCGGUGCUGCCAGUUUUUUUUCAACAAAAUGAAACGUUAUCUCAUCAGGAACACACUUUAUGUAGGACUGUGAAUUGA
rnacentral:rRNA from 1 species